rnacentral:lncRNA from 1 species
CGGGGAUCCAAAAUAUUCAAAGCCUCGGUAUAUGUAUAUAUUGUCCACAUAACUCAAAAUAAUAAAGAAUAUCAAUAUAUUAGUUAAAAAAUUGCCUAAAUCAAAUAAAAAAUGGUGUGUAGUUCGGGAAGGGUGAAUUGAAUCUGUUAGGGCUUUUUCUUGGACGAACCUGAAGCCUCGAAUAGGAAACUAUUCAGAGAUCUGAAAAAAUCAAAGAAAAAAAGUAGACAGAGAGAACAUUGGGAGAGAAUCAUACCUGAAAUUAUAGGAGAUUGAUGAGAAAAUGAAGAGGUAAAUAUUUUGAAGAACUGAAAAUUGAAAAGUACUCCUCCGUGAAUAGAAAUGAUUCUAGACCAAUGU